UAGUGUUACAGUGCUUUUAGAAUUUAUCUAGCAGGCUUUCUGCUUUUUGCUGGAAAGCCCAU
ensembl:snRNA U7 U7 small nuclear RNA